CGUCAAGAGCUGGUACCGUUGUCUGUUGAGAAGCGAGCAGCAGAGACAUUUUCCAAGUGUUUAAAAGUUUUAUCUACGGGUUUUACGCCAUUUGUUUUGGGGUCUUUGGCUGUUCAACCGGGAAAUUGAAAGUUUGCACGAAUCCCUGAGAGUCCUUCUUUUCAUCAGAGCCUUCGAAAGACUGAAGAAAAGCUUCAAAAAGGUUCAGAAUGGUGACAAAAUCCUGGACACGGUGUACUUGCUAAUAGACUUGGAAGAAGCCCAGCAAAGGUUGGCUCUCCAACGCCGCCACAUCCUACAAGGAAAAAGAAUCGUUUAAUACAUCUGGAAAAACUGCACAGUCUAUAGGAAACCACAAGAUGGCUCAGUGUGAGUACCUCGCUGGCAGCGUAGGUGUACAGGACUUUAUUCUUUAUGACAAACCACAGCCUCUUCCACUGCUUCUUGUUGCCUUUUGACCUGUUUAG